GCUUGACCUCGGAUCAGGUAGGGAUACCCGCUGAACUUAA
rnacentral:rRNA from 1 species